GAUGAACGCUGGCGGCGUGCCUAAUACAUGCAAGUCGAGCGGACGGACGAGAAGCUUGCGUCUCUGCGGUUAGCGGCGGACGGGUGAGUGACACGUGGAUAACCUACCUAUAAGACGGGGAUGACUUCGGGAAACCGGAGCUAAUACUGGCUGAUAUUUUGAACCGCAUGGAUCAAAAGUGAAUGACGGUCUUGCCGUCACUUAUAGAUGGAUCCGCGCUGCAUUAGCUAGUUGGUAAGGUAACGGCUUACCAAGGCAACGAUGCAUAGCCGACCUGAGAGGAUGAUCGGCCACACUGGAACUGAGACACGGUCCAGACUCCUACGGGAGGCAGCAGUAGGGAAUCUUCCGCAAUGGGCGAAAGCCUGACGCAGUAACGCCGCGUGAGUGAUGAAGGUCUUCGGAUCGUAAAGCUCUGUUAUUAGGGAAGAACAUAUGUGUAAGUAACUGUGCACGUCUUGACGGUACCUAAUCAGAAAGCCCCGGCUAACUACGUG
rnacentral:rRNA from 1 species